rnacentral:rRNA from 1 species
UACGUAGGGGGCAAGCGUUGUCCGGAUUUAUUGGGCGUAAAGAGCUCGUAGGUGGUUUGGUAAGUCGGAUGUGAAAUCUCCAGGCUCAACCUGGAGGGGUCAUUCGAUACUGCCAUACUAGAGGUCGGUAGGGGAGUGGUGGAAUUCCUGGUGGAGCGGUGGAAAUGACGCAGAUAUCAGGAGGAACACCGAUGGCGAAGGCAGGUCUCUGGGCCAUAACUGACGCUGAAAAGCGAAAGCCAGGGGAGCAAACGGG